GCCCUAGCCUACUGGUUAGCGCUUCGGACUUGUAACCAGAGGGUUGCCGGUUCGAACCCCGACCAGGCA
rnacentral:tRNA from 1 species